rnacentral:rRNA from 1 species
UACAGAGGGUGCAAGCGUUAAUCGGAAUUACUGGGCGUAAAGCGUGCGUAGACGGUUAUUUAAGUCAGGUGUGAAAGCCCCGGGCUCAACCUGGGAAUUGCAUUUGAGACUGAAUAGCUAGGGUGCGGAAGAGGGAAGCGGAAUUUCCGGUGUAGCGGUGAAAUGCGUAGAUAUCGGAAGGAACACCAGUGGCGAAGGCGGCUUCCUGGACCGACACUGACGCGUGAGGCGGCGAAA